rnacentral:rRNA from 1 species
CGGGGGGGCAAGCGUUGUUCGGAAUUACUGGGCGUAAAGGGUGCGUAGGCGGCUCUCUAAGUCGGAUGUGAUAACUCUGGGCUCAACCCAGAGCCUGCAUCCGAAACUGGAGGGCUAGGGUUCUGGAGGGGAAAGCGGAAUUCCUGGUGUAGCGGUGAAAUGCGUAGAUAUCAGGAGGAACACCGGUGGCGAAGGCGGCUUUCUGGACAGAUACCGACGCUGAGGCACGAAAGCUAGGGGAGCAAACAGGAUUAGAUACCCUGGUAGUCCUAGCCCUAAACUAUGGAUACUUGCUGUGGGGGGGAUUGAAGCCCCUUGUGGCGAAGCUAACGCAUUAAGUAUCCCGCCUGGGGAGUACGGUCGCAAGGCUG